UGUAGUUCAUGAUCUGAUUGGGAAACUUAAUUUUAUUUCAUUUUGCUGAAUGCUUGGAUGAUUCGUGGUGGAUUUCAGGUUCGGGUGAUCUGUUAAUGUGCUAAAUCAGAUGGUACAUUAAUGGUAUUUUUGGAAUUAGCAUCUACUCUAUACGUGUAAAUUUUACAGUGCUGAAUAUGGAUUGCUGAUUUGGGGAGUUGCAGACUCAAUUAUCAAGGACAUGUAUCUAUAAGAACGGGUCUGGUCUGGAUGUUAAGUGACGGUAAAUCAAGUAAAUGGAAGUUAGCAAACUGUGGAAAUCAUAUUCGUUCCCAGAAAGUCCCAAGGAGGCUCUUCACCCGACCCAUGUCACUGCAAUAUUGGACAAGAGCUAAGGCCUAAGGUGGUCAUCUUGCUCGACAUAUUUGUUUGGGUGCUAUCGUGGGCGAUAUACCCACUUUGUUAGUUAAGAUUCAACUAUAUUCUUCCUCGGGACAAGCAGGAGAUGAUGGGAGUGAAGGCACUCCCAUGUUUCACAUGGUAUGUUCUGAACUUAAUUUCCAUGGUUUAUGGAACUGCUGAAUAUGUUAUAUAUCAACGCUACUAUGUUAGUAUCUCUUUCAUUUCUUCAGAAAAUUUUCUGUUCGGAGUGGCUUCAUAUGUUUGUUGAGGAAUCCUUAAGUUGUUCUAGAAGUUCCAAAAAAAGUGGGUCUAAUUCGUAUCUACGUUUUCUGUAAGUUCACAAAAAUAUUUCAAUAUCAUUUUGUUUUUGAAAGUGUUGUCUAAAAAUAUAUGUAGGGACAGAGCAAUUAGAGCGAGUCAUGGAAAUUUCAAACCAGAUUUUUCGAACCAAUGGUCACUGCAUUCACUUUCGUUCAUCCCAUGGUUGCAUCUCAUCUGUUAGACUGCUAUGAUAGUACUAAGCAUGAGUUGCUACUUGCUUGCACAGUAAAGCAGUCUGUUUAUGAAAUUUAGUUCAUUUUUCAUUGCUCAUAUUCAGAUAUCUAAAUUAUGAGAGCUGGUUUCCUAACAACUUCUAUUUUAUUUACUAAAGGCUGAAUCACAUAUUAUAAUAGAUGGUUCACUAAUUUCUAUCUUAUUUUUGUCAGUUCUUAGAGAACCUGUACAGCGUAUUCAAACAAACAAAACAUAUUAAUUUGAAGCUUUGUUCAUAAGUUGGAAGUAUGGCUCUUUUGCAUCCUUGUUCAUAAGUUUAUAGAGUGCAACUUCUUAUUUUGUCCUGGGGCAAUUUGAUGAGCAGUCAUGGUGCGAGCUCACCCAUUGAUAAAACAACGGGUUUGAUAGUUCAAUGCAAUCACAUGCAUUCCGUAUUGGGUUUCAAUCGCCAUUUCCAAUAGGAACACACUUGGUGAGCCAAGUGAACCACACCCGCUUGUGAUUGAGGCAUGAGAGGCACUCAGGAAAUCUGUAGUGUAUUUUCAUGGCCAACCAGUUGGUACAGUUGUUGCGGUAGAUCAUGCAUAUGAGGAAGUGCUCAAUUAUGAUCAGGUAAAACCCUUUAGCAUAUCUGAAAACAGGCCACUCUUUAUUUUCUAGAUACUGAUGUAUCUAAAUCUGUAAUUUAGCAUCUCCGGUUGCCUUGUAAUUUUCUUCAUUCACAUGCUGUAGAUAUAGUAAUGAUGAUGCUACAUUAUUCUGUGGCAUUUUGAGGAUAAUAUCUAUUAUAAACUGAUGAAACGGAAGGUGUUCACUUGGGGGGGCCUGUAUUAUCUGAUAUAAUUGAUGAAAUUUUGCUUUAUAAUUUGAUUAUCAUGGGCACUAUGGCUUUCGAUACUCUGCUUGCUCGUAGUCAUGGUUUGCAUUUUUUCCUAUUUUACUUAAAUAAUUGCUAUCUGACGAUUUACUUUUCAUGAUUUUAUCCUUACAAUGACAGGUUUUUGUCGGCAAUUUUGUUCCCACUGCGUUGGCUUUUCUGAUGAACAAAGAGCCCGGGAUAGUGAAGAACUUUCUAUUGAAAACUCUUCACUUGCAAAGCUCACAUUAAAUGGUGCCUGUGUUGAAUAGUGUUCCCACUCUUCUUCAACUUCAAGGAUUCCCCAAUGAUAGGCACGCACAAAAUUUUGUUUUUCGGUGCUGGAUAUCGCAGAGAGAUAUCAGUUGGACUUGCCUAGAUCUGCAUCCCAGCUUAGGAGAGCUUCCACAGUUGGCAGUUGUAGUCUGAAUCUUGUGCCAAAUUCCGAAGAUGCAUAGGCUGAAUCGAUCGAUUACACUUCUGAGUUUCAUUGCAUCUCUAUCAGGCACGGACACCCAUCCACGAAAGCUCAGGAGGAUGGACAGAGCAAGAGGAAGAAAACCUACAACACAAUUUUCCAAAAGCGGCGAAUUUUGGUGUUGCGAGUUGCAGGUGAAUGAUCUUUCUAUGUUGUUUGUGUACGUCGGAGUCUGAAGAUUAUGUUGAUUCCUUUCAUUGUUAUCCUGUAAAUAUGACCUAAGUGUCUGUUGUGGCGGUGUUUCUAUGCACCUUAUGUGGAUGGAGCUUGUACUAUUGCGCCAUGCUCGAUUUAUGUGUUUGCCGUUUUGAUCCGUCUUGCUGUAGACAAAGACUUUUUCUAAAAUUAAUCUAUUUUCAUUUUCAAGUAGAUACAAAUGCAAGGCCUUAUAACUGUCAUUAAUUAUUAUUUAGCAUAAUGAUGUUAUUAGUAUCAUUUAUGAGCGUUAUUGAAAUAUAUAUUUGCCUAUUUUCAUUGUAUACAAGUGUUUUCUACUCCGUGCUUGAUUUUGUCUGUUUUAUCCUAAUUUUACCUGCGGAUUUCAUUUUGUAAAAUUAAAAUGAACAUA